rnacentral:lncRNA from 1 species
GCAACCGCUCUUAUCCCAAAAUCUUUGUCUUUGCUUCUGCAAUGCAGGAUCAGUGUUACUCCUGUGUUAAUUCUGUUAGUAAUCACAACGUGUUUAGGUGCAAACGGUAAAAAACCAUCGACGGAUGAAUGGUUUCCAAAAGAUGACGUUUUGAGGAUAAGUAGAAAUGAGAAUAGCACAAAAAUGAGAUGGCUGUUUGUUAAGGAAGACAUGGUUACACGUUAAAAGGGUUUGUGAAAUUUGUUUGUUUUGAAAGUAGUAUUUAUAUAGACAGAUUACAAUUUAGUUGGUUGUACUUGUUGCAUCUACAUAGUUACAAGUAAAACUGUAGAAUGUAAACAUGCAUGCCCAUUAGUACUUUUUUUUAAUUAUUGCACCUCUAUUUUUUUUACUUGAAGUUUUAGACUUGCGCUUACAAAUCAAGAAAUUAUUUAAUUUUGUAAGAUUUUACUAGAUAAAAACUUCAUAAGUUAUACAAAUAACCAUAUUUCAACUAAUAAAAAGUAAUUUGGAAGAUAUAAAUAGUCAUAUAACAUGUACAAUUCAUAAAUUUUGCAUUAAAAUUUGAAACAAAAAAUUUCUUUAAAACAUAUUUUAUUUUAAAAAUAAGGGAGUAGCAUAUAAAACAUAUAAAUAAUGUUCUUUAGUUAGUCAGUAUUGAAAGAAAAAAAUGGUAAGAGAUCUCUCAAGUCGUAUUUUCUACUUUAGAAAAAUGUCUUUAAAGUCUUUCUUGUCAUUUGAUAUAUUUUAGUUGAGAUUUUAAAAGGAUAUGAAAAACUAAAAUAUGAAAUCUGGUUAUAUAUAGAGACAUAAUUACAAGUAAAUAUUUAGAGUCAAAAAUGUCCAUUAGUAAUUAGAACUACUAGCAUACCAAAUAAUAAAAAAUAAAAAUAUACUGUAUACAUGUAUUUAGUGUUCUUUAGUCAAUUUUUAUUGGUUGCUAUUUUUUUGUCAACAAAUCUAUCUGUUUCUUUUCAGUUUUCACUAAAUAGUUAUAAAUUAUAUUUUAAACUUUUUUAUCAAUAUCAAAUAUUUUUAUAACAGAAUUUGUUGAUAUACUCUCUUUUAGUAGAUAUUAAUUUAAUUAAAGUAUAAUAUCUUCUUGAUGGAUUAUGUCUUUGAGAUAUUGUAAAACAAUUAGAAAUCCAAUGACAAAAGAAAGAUAUACAUAUUUAAUAACAAUAUCACCUACCAUAUCUGUUUAUUUAUUAGUGUUUGAAUCAAAUCAAGGAUACAAACCAAGAAAGAUGCAAUAGAUACAAUUAAGAAUCCCAGUCGAAACAAGUAAGACUGUCAUCACGCUUAUCACGACAAGGGCCGGGCUCAUAUAUGACCCAAGUGCAUUAUCUACAAACUCCAAGCUUACUUCUUGGGUUGUCAUCUCUAUCGACCGUAAAAAUAGCAAAUGUUGCUCUAUGUCCAGGCCAGUUGAAAAUGCAAGUAUACCUUGUCGUUUUACGGAGGUUGACAUGAAAUCUAAAAUCAAAACUUUGUAGGAAUCCAACCGCUCUGAUACCAAAAUCUUGCUCUUUGUUUGUGCAAUGCAGGAUCAGUGUUACUCCUGCGUUAAUUAUGUUAGUAAUCACGACAUGUUUAGGUGCAAACGGUAAAAAUCCAUCCAUCUGAUGGAUGAAUGGUUUCCAGAAGAUGACGACUUUUUGAGGAUAAGUAGAAAUGAGAGUAACACAAAAUGAAAUGGCUGUUUGUUGAGUGUUUGUGAGAAAUUUGUUUGUUUUGAAAUUUGUAUUUAUAAACAGAUUACAAACUUGUAAAUUGUAACAUGUUGUAUGGACUUAACUACAAGUAAAUGUUUUGAAUCUAAAAACGCAUAUCCGUUAGUACUUUGUUUAAUUACUAACAUACUAAAUAAAACAUACUCUAUCCAUUUCUUUUUACUUGACGUUCUAGAAUUUUGCACAUAUAUGAAAAAUUAAUUUUGUAUAUUUUAUAAACAAAAACAUCAUUAACUAUACAAUUAAUUAUAUUUUAACCAAUAAAAAUAAACUGCAUAAUAUCAAAAGUCAUAUAGCAUGCAAGGUUCAUAUAUUCUGCAUUGAAAUUUGAAAGCAUCAACUAAUUUGAAACAACACAAUUCUCUAAAUGUAACCUACGUGUAUAAGAUUCGCAUUGAUGUAUGUUCGCUUAAUCAACAAAAAGUUUAGGGUGUUUUGUGAUGUUAAAAAAAAAAAAUCCACCGUCUUACUUAAGAGGAAUGCAUUAGAAUAUAUUUUCAUGUUUUUUAGUGUUUAAGUGUUACACUCCCAGAAGAAAAAUAUCAAAUGUUAUUGACGAGAAAGUUCUUGGUAUUGUUCAGUCAUAGAGAUAAUUGUAUUCUUUGUAACGAUUAGAGAGCUAUUUCAUAAAUCUUAGAACUUCUUUAUAAUGAUUUAAAAAGAAAUCCACAAAAUCUGUAUUGAGUAUAGUUCUCAUAAAUAGUUGUUAACUUCGAUAUCUCAUCAAGAGAAAUAUAAUCUCUUAUCACAAGAGAAAAGCUACAAAUAUGUAAUAAUAAUAUCACCUACCAGACCUGUUUAUUUUAUUAUUAUUAUGAAUCAAAUCAAAAUACAAAAAAAUGCAAUAUAUAUUUUAAAGCGAUACAGAAUCCCAGUUGAAACAAGUCAUACCGGUUUUAUCACGUUUAUCACGACAAGGGCCACCAACAAAAAUGAUCCAAAUGCAUUCUCUACAAACACCAAGCUUACUUUUUGGGUUGUCAUCUCUACCGACCGUAAAAAUAGCAAAGGUUGCGUUAUGCUCAGGCCAGUUGAAAGUGCAAGUAUAUCUUGUUGUUUUAAAGAGGUUGACAUGAAAACUGAAAUCAAAGCUACCUUCGAAUUGGACUGCUCUUAUCCCCAAAUCUAUCUCUUUGUUUCUGCAAUGGAAGACCAGUGUUGCUCUAGUGUUAAUUCUGUUAAUAAUAACGACAUGUUUAGGUGCAAAUGGUAAUAGUCCAUCGAUGGACGAAUGGUUUCCAAAAGAUGACGACGUUUGAAGGAUAAGUAGAAAUGAGAAUAGCAUCCAUUUCAUUUUCGAACUCGAAGAAAAGAUGAAUAUAUGACAUAAAUCCUCUUUUUUGUUUAGAAAUUAGUAUUUAUAAACACUAGAGGUUGGCCCGCCCUACGGGCGGGUGGGUUUACACUGAAACUAUUUUAUACUAAAUUAUAUUUUAGUUUUAUAAAAUAUUUAAAAUUUUACUUUAUACUGAAAUUAAUAAAUAUAAUCUAUUUUAUUCUAAAAUUAUAUUAUAAAUUUAAUUAAAUUUUGUUGGUUUAAGUUGAAAAAACUACUAACAAUAUUUUUAAUAGAAAACACAAAAUUAUUAAAUUAAAAAUUAAUAUUUUAAUAUUUGAUUUCUAUUUCAAUUUGAUAUAGUUUAAAAAAUCUAAAAUAAGAAUAACUACUAUUUUUUAUUCUAAAAAUAUCAGAUUUUAAUAUUAUUAUAAUAACUAUUUUUCACGAUAAUAAAUUAAUAUACCCACUUCCAAACUAAAUCAUUUGAAAAACAAAUGUAAUGUGAUACAAUUAUAAAAUUUUAUAUUUUAAAGUAAUAUAGAAAUAGAUUCAGUAAUGUCAUAAUUAAUAAUUAGUAUAUAUUAUAUAACAAAAAACGUGGUGUAGAAUAUAUGUGUGUCUCAGUUUAUAUUAGAUUUUCCAUUUAUAAUGAAUUUCUUUAAUUUUUAGUGUUUUACUAAUUAUUUUUUGUAAAAUAUUUUAGCAUUUGGUGUAAAAUAUAGUGUUUUAAUUUUGCAUUUGUAUUGGUGUGAUUUGUAAUAAAUUUAUUGUUAUAAACAUUUUUCACAAUGAUUUUUUUAGUUAUUUCAUUUCCAUAGUGAUGUGUUCAUGUUGUUAAUACAAACAAAUCAUAAUCAUCUACUACGGUUGACAUUUAUCCAUUGAAAAGUUAAACUAAAAGUAAUGUAUGUUUUUUAAUUAUUAUAAUAAUCAGUUAGUUUAAUUUUUUUUUCAUAGUAGAAAGAUUGGUUUUUAGAAUGUUAAAGAGAAUAUCAGUAACAUCAACUAAAUGAGGAUUGCGUUACGAAGCCAAAUUUACAAAAUUAAUGUAAUUUAAGUUUACCGUUACGACUUCAACAAUGUUAGAUCGCUGGAAGCUAGUAGGAGUAAGGCAAUGUGCGGUCAGACCAAUUCAUUGAUUGGAUGUCAAAUUAGUAGACCGACGAUUAUAAACAAAGUUGUAAGGUUUUGAGAGUACACAAGAUUUUGGGGACUGUAGACCUUACUAUUGAUGUUUAGUAUAGUGACAUGUUAAUUCUCAUUCUAUUUUUUUAUUUGUGUCUCGCUUAAUUCAAAUAUAUUUGUAUUUUAUGUUUUUAUUUCAUGAUUAGUGGUAAGUUCACUUUCACAUUAUGACUUAGGUUUUUACAUAAUAUAUUUUGCAGAUUUUGGUUUCAUUUUUUUUUAAAUCAACAUUUGAAUGUAUGGUCUGAAAAAUUCUAUUUCAUAUAUUCCAUAUCUUCUGAUGCUGUAUCCAUUUGUCCACAAUGGGAAGUUGUUAUUGGGUAACUGUCAACCCCUUGAAACUUUUAGAUCAUUUGGAUUUGUACUAUGUAUAUUACAUAUUGUUAUCUUUUGAUAAAUGCAACUCCGUAUAAUUCUUUGAAAUCAGUAAACUUAUAACUUCAGUCGUUUGAAAAAUUUUUCCAAUCUUUUGUAAAUGAUUUUCCCAUGAAGGAUGAAUAAAUUUGAAAUUUCAUAAAAAAAAAAAAUUUCCCCAAUCUAAAUGUGUUUUUAAGUGAUAGUGUAAAGAAAAAAAUAAUGCAAGACAUUCGUUUGAGCUUAUUUAGUUUUAAAUACACUGCAGAAACUUAAUUUUUCUAGUGUACAAAAAUCAUAUGCGAGAAGAGCAACAGCACCAGUAAUGCUCACUUACUUUGUAAGACCUGAAUCAUUAUCUUUGCCUAGGAAGCCGGAAUGAGGGAGGUUGAAGAUAGUUCGGUCAAAUCUUCUGCAGUUAAGAUGAGGAUGCAAUGUUACUGCAAUUUGGUUGCAUAAACUCCACGUAAGAGGGAAUCUCCACAUGUCCUCAAAGUUCCAAGAUUUGAAAGGAAGAGAUAAGAAUGGAUUGGAUGAAGCGGAGAGAUUUGGGGAGUUCGUCAUCUUUAUUUAUAGGAUAUAGAUUCUCGUUGCUACAAAAACUGCAACACAAAGAACACAAUACAAAUCAGCCUCAAUCAAACGAUGAAAAAAACCACAGUGAGAAUAUACACAAACAAAGAAACUAAGGUAAGAAACAGAAUUGUAAAAUGCAACAAAUCUUUAGAAACAGCCACAGAAAUCAUAAAAUAAAAUGCAACAUAUCAACAAAAUCAACAAUUUUGCAAGAGACAGAGACAGAGAUUAAUAUAGGCAUAUGUUAACCACAUAAAAUAAAAUGACAAACUUAACUUACAAAUACAAUAGAUCUAGUGGCCUCUGAAGGAAAGUAAGUGGUGAAGAAGCCAUUCAGUUCGAGAAGGCUCGUUGCUAAUACUUCUUCCUGAAAAAGGCAAAAAUAGAAAUUCUAACUAAAGCCUUGAUACAAAAGGAGAUAAAAGAAGACUUGAAGAUAUGGUUCAUAGAUAACAUUUAUACCUUCAGUGCUUCAGAUCUUGAAGCUGCACCAACAGCAAGAACAGCUCUCGCACAGUCUGUCUAGCAGUUCUUACGGCUCUGAAUCUCCUCUACACUGCUGCGUGAAGCUUAAGAAAGCUAGGAAUGGUAACCACAAAAUCCAACCUUCAAGUUUGAUGCUUUAAACAAUUAUUCCAGCAAGAGAAGGCGUUUAACGUCAUGUAUAAAGCUUUGAAGUCAAAAUCUAAAACUGAUCAAAACGAAACCAACAUAGGACAGUGUAGUUUGUUAAAUGUUUACCACAUAGGAAGUCAAAGUCAAGCAUUCGUUGAACAGGAAGCUGAUUAUAGUUGUAGAACAAAGCUUGUAUGGUCCGAGAGAACAGUUGUCCCGUUGCAAUUUUGGGAAGAGUUCAAAAGGGGAAACUGUGAAUCAAAACAGAAACGCUCUUAUCCCAAAAUCUUUGUCUUUGCUUCUGCAAUGCAGGAUCAGUGUUACUCCUGUGUUAAUUCUGUUAGUAAUCACAACGUGUUUAGGUGCAAACGGUAAAAAACCAUCGACGGAUGAAUGGUUUCCAAAAGAUGACGUUUUGAGGAUAAGUAGAAAUGAGAAUAGCACAAAAAUGAGAUGGCUGUUUGUUAAGGAAGACAUGGUUACAC